rnacentral:rRNA from 1 species
UACAGAGGGGGCAAGCGUUAUUCGGAAUUAUUGGGCGUAAAGGGCGCGUAGGCGGCUUGAUAAGUCAAAGGUGAAAUCCCUCGGCUCAACCGAGGACCUGCCUUUGAUACUGUCUCGCUUGAGGCCGGGAGAGGGUAGCGGAAUUCCCAGUGUAGCGGUGAAAUGCGUAGAUAUUUGAAGGAACACCAGUGGCGAAGGCGGCUACCUGGACCGGUUCUGACGCUGAGGCGCGAAAGCGUGGGGAGCAAACAGG